rnacentral:lncRNA from 1 species
CAGGAACUGGAGCCUUAAAGAGGACGCCGCGGCCACCCCGCCCUGCAGGCCCACCUGCAGCUGGGCUGCAUCUGGGAGAGGCAAGCGAGGGGCCGGCCAGCUUCACUGCCUGCAUGCCCUUUAGGAGCAGAACAAGCUGCAAAACACCCACCUGCUCUGGGAACAAGGCACGCAUGACCAGUCUAGGAAAAGUGUGCAAAGCUCUCAAGACUCCGAUGCAUACGGGUAUUGUUGCAGAAAAUCAGAGAAAUGUAGACAAGCACCAAGGAGAAAACAGAAGGCACGUCAUCAACUAAACAUCUGACUCGCAUUUUGGACAUGGUCUAGUGCUUUCUAGGCAAUUGUAAGUCCUUGCCAUGCAUGUUGGUUCACAAACUGUUCUUAACACAUGAUGUAUUAUGCUGACUUCUCAUCUCAUUAGGCAUAUUUUACACUAGAUUUUCAAAGAGUGACCAAUGUUACUAUGGCACAUCCUGCCUAACUAUUUCACUGUCAGUAGCUGCCCAGGUUAUAUCUGGAUUUUCUAUUUAUAAACACUGAGAAACACCCUUUUCAAUAAAUGCUUCUUAACAUUCAUGAUUCUUUAAAUAAAUGUCUAGCUCAUUCAGACUCCAAUGGCCAAAGGGUACAUGUGCCUUAAAAUCUUUAAAACAUUAACCGGGCUGGGCACGGUGGCUCACACCUGUAAUCCUAGCACUUUGGGAGGCCAAGACGGGAGGAUCACCUGAGGUCGGGAGUUCAAGACCAGCCUGACCAACAUGGAGAAACCCCAUCUCUACUAAAAAUACAAAAUUAGCCGGGCAUGGUGGCGCAUGCCUGUAAUCCCAGCUACUUGGGAGGCUGAGGCAGGAGAAUCACUUGAACUUGGGAGGCAGAGGUUGCAGUGAGCCAAGAUUGCACCAUUGCACUCCAGCCUGGGCAACAAGAGCAAAACUCCAUCUCAAAAAAAAAAAAAAAAAAAAAAAAAAGAAAAAAAAAAAACCACUA